rnacentral:sRNA from 1 species
UACGUAUGUACGUACCAUUGUGUGCUGA